rnacentral:rRNA from 1 species
GACGAACGCUGGCGGCGUGCUUAACACAUGCAAGUCGAACGAUGAAGCCGGAGCUUGCUCUGGUGAAUUAGUGGCGAACGGGUGAGUAACACGUGAGUAACCUGCCCUUGACUCUGGGAUAACUGCGGGAAACUGUAGCUAAUACCGGAUACGACCCUCGGAGGCAUCUCCUGGGGGUGGAAAGAAUUUCGGUCAAGGAUGGACUCGCGGCCUAUCAGCGAGUUGGUGAGGUAACGGCUCACCAAGGCGACGACGGGUAGCCGGCCUGAGAGGGGGGCCGGCCACACUGGGACUGAGACACGGCCCAGACGCCUACGGGAGGCAGCAGUGGGAAAUAUUGAGCAAUGGGCGCAAGCCUGAUGCAGCAACGCCGCGUGAGGGAUGACGGCCUUCGGGUUGUAAACCUCUUUUAGUAGGGAAGAAGCGAAAGUGACGGUACCUGCAGAAAAAGCACCGGCUAACUACGUGCCAGCCGCCGCGGUAA